rfam:Tupaia chinensis contig13929, whole genome shotgun sequence.
AUUUACUAAAGGCAUACACAUAUACUAAAAUAUGAACGAUUCAGAGAAGAUCAGCAUGGCCCCUGUGCAAGGAUGACAUGCAAACUCAUAGCGUUCCAUAUCUUU